rnacentral:lncRNA from 1 species
CAUUCAUAAAUAAAAGACCAGACCUGAACAGAAAAUUUGAAGUCCAACCACGGAACUCAAGAGAAUCAUCAAAAGAAAGGACUUCAAGAAGGUGGAACAUAUCCAAUCCACUGGCAAGUUAUCAAAAUGUGCUCUAUCAAAGACAAGUUGCCCAUGACACGACAUGAAAAAGUUUUUCCUGAACCACAUGGAAGAGACAUGAAGAAAGAGAGGAUUUGCAGGACAAGCCAGGCAUGAAGACCAAGCUAGGGACCUAAUCUGCAAAAUCAAGGUGAAGAUUCCAAAUGGAAUGUUCCCAGGAGACACAGUUGAGAGCCUGGCCAGAGAAAAGAAACUGAGAGUGGGGGCUCUCUCUCUCUGGGGGUGACUGACCAACAGAGAAACAUCUUCUCUGGGUUCCUGACCAAAAGAGACUGGUUUUUUCUGAUCUAGGCAGAGAGACCUUUGGGGUUUUGAUAGAGUCUGGACUUGAAUUACUCAAGCAGAGAUCUGCCUAAAGAAAGAAGAAAAGAAGAAAAAUACUCAUCCUCCAUCUCUCUGGCUGUCUCUGUGUCACAGCUGUGGCUAGACUGACAUUUCCCACACCCUCCUAAUUCUCCUUGUAGAUUAGGGACAAAUCUCAUCCCUCUCACCUCAAUCCCCAUUAUAUUUGUUACCAAUAAACCCCUUUACUUGAGAAAAGAAGAGUAAAGA